CCCCUUAUGUCCUGGGCUACACACGUGUUACAAUGGGUAGGACAACGAGCAGCCAGCCAGCGAUGGUGAGCAAAUCUCUUAAACCUACUCUCAGUUCGGAUCGCAGUCUGCAACCCGACUGCGUGAAGUCGGAAUCGCUAGUAACCGUAGAUCAGCACGCUGCGGUGAAUACGUUCCCGGGUCUUGUACACACCGCCCGUCACACCAUGGGAGCUGAUCACGCCCGAAGUCGGUGAGCUAACCCUCUGGGAAGCAGCCGCCUAAGGCAGGGUCGGUGACUGGGGUGAAGUCGUAACAAGGUAGCCGUACCGGAAGGUGUGGCUGGAUCACCUCCUUUCUAGGGAGA
rnacentral:rRNA from 1 species